ensembl:snRNA U2 U2 spliceosomal RNA
CAAUCUUCUCGGCCUUUUGGCUAAGAUCAAGUGUAGUAUCGCAAUCUUGUCAAGAAACUUUCCAUGCAAUGUUUUGUUGUGCCAGCUGUCAGCGCUAGUUUGUAGUGCGGUUUUCUUGUACUGGUUUUUUGUCUGCUGUGCUUUGAGGAGUUUCUGAUUUUUGACUUCAAUCAAAGCAGGUUCU